GAGCCCUUGCUUGGCUGGUCCAAGUGAGCCAGCCUUGAGUUAGCAGACAGCGCCAAGGCUCACCAGCCAGCUGCUAAAUCCCAAAGGGGCCCAGGGACGGGUAUUACUAUCGCUCUUCUCCCUGGCUGACUGUGUUCUCCCAUUCUUCAAGAUCACCAUCUCCUUUUGGAGGCCUUCAAAGACAUGCUGGAUAUGAUGAUCCCCCUAAGGCUAUGCUCCUGUGAACAUUCGCCACAAAGAAAAGGAAGGAAGAAGAAACAGCACAACCCCCAUCUGUACGAUAUCUAUUCAAACAGAGUUUGGAACAAGAAAACAGUGUAUUCCUAAAUGGCGGUUCCUCAGACGUCUAUUUCCUUAGCUAAAGAAUCCUGAAGGGGAAGAAGGCUGAGUCACUGCAACCCUCCCUCAGACUGCCAGAUGUCAUUGUCCCUCAAAUGUUGUUGGGGGCUGAAGUCUAUGGACGUUAAAGCCUCAGGUUCUGGAAUUAGAAACACCUGCCCUGGCUCCUGGCUUGACUACUCUGUGGUUUGGAAAUGCGUCUGGCCUGAGUUUCUUCGUGGUGAAAGAGAAGCACAUUUGCACUUGCCAUGCAGAGCUUUUGUGUGGAUUUCCUGUGAAAAUGUAUCCAACACACUGCAAAGGAGAAAGUGGGACAUUUUUGGCCGGGGCUGGGUUUGAAUCCGCCACCUCCAGCAUAUGGGGCCACCUGCGGCCUACUCCUUUGAGCCACAGGCGCCGCCCCAGACCUCAGAAUGUUGCUUGUAACUAGCAGUGAUACUUCUGCCCAGACACCACGUGCAAAUACCAUGAAGAGAAGAUGCAAGAAACAGCGGGUGGCCGCACACACUUGUCUCCUUGAA